ensembl:snRNA U2 U2 spliceosomal RNA
AUCGCUUCUCGGCCUUUUGGCUAAGAUCAAGUGUAGUAUCUGUUCUUAUCAGUUUAAUAAUAUAGACAUUUUACGUAAGUAUCGUAGAGAAAUUCUGGAACUAUA